CUCCCUUCCAUCCUUUUAUUCUUGAAGAAGGAUCAAGAGUUGAUUGCUUCAAGAAAGAAAAGUUCAGCCAUUGCAGCACCUCCUCGCGAGCUAGCACUCCCGUGGAUGUCGAUCUUCCUAGAGCUUCGCGUGGAUGAUCCAUAGAGGCCGGACGUAUGUGCAGCUGUGGAGCGUGAUCAAGGAGUCAUCAAAGGCUUCCAGUAACAUGUAUGCAUCGGAUUUGGUUUUCGAUGAGUGUAGAAGGAAAGUAUAAAUUGUCUUUGAUCAUGAUAAGAGAGGUUUGUGAUCGGUUCUUUCAAUUUCAAAAUAAACCACGCAAUAGCACGUAUCCUGUAGGAUAGUGAUUACGGGUGUCGGUCCACAGGGAUUGGAGAAUAAGUUAUUUUUCCUAAUUAAAUAAUUACUUCAAAGGGCAUAAGCUAGAGUAAAUGAUAAAAACUAAGAAUUAAUAUGGAUGUAGUAGUAUGAAUUAUCUAUGGAGAGAGGUGUUUAGGGCUAGAAUCCACCGAUGGAUUCGUAAGUGUGAUGCUUUCAAUGACUUAGAUGCGUGUAUGAUCUAAUUGCUCUUAACUACAAGUUAGGGCAAUCAUACAAAAAGUUGAAAUCUAACCCACAGUAUGAGUCAUCUAAACCUGGUACAAACCAUCUUCUCUAAGGAUAGGCAUGGUCUGUCCUAUUUAGCAUGAUCCAUCUGAUGAUUAAUUUCUCAAAGAUAAAUCCGAUAGUUGCAUAGCAAUCUCCUCCAAACCACAGGUAUUGGAUUCGAUUUCGAUAAACUAGGUUAAUUCAUGCAAAGACUUUCUACAAGAUAAACAUCUUACACAAAUUAAACAAGACAUUUUAAGAUCAUAAUUUCAUUGAGUAUGCAACUGUCUUACAAC
rnacentral:lncRNA from 1 species